UGCAGAUGUUGGCUACGACGCAGCACGUACACUUCCCAUCACUGACAGGCAGCGCUGUGAAGCUUUUCCUUAAAUAGCGGCUGUACCCGUCGGCAGCGUGGGCACUCGUGCGUGUGGGGGCUUCUCUUGCACACUCGUUCUGCUAACCUGAAAGCUCUCGCUCACUUCCUUUCUAGAAGACCUCACAGUAACCCACCUCUGAGCUGAGGAGGUUUGAGGUUUACUGUAGCUGAGAACGAUGCAGCUGCGUCUUUAUUCCUGCUACAGUAAAAUGCACUGUACGUCUGCAGAGCCUUAUCGCUUGGAUGAUCUGACCACGAUGGGUCCAUGGCCAGUGUGUCUGGUUCUGCUGCUACCACUGACCAUGUGCUCCGACAGAGAAGGUAAUGAACCGUUUUAAUGUGUAAAACAUGAAAGUUAUUUUUUUAUCUGUGGUUUUAGGGUUGUAACUUUUUUUGUGCGUUGAAACUUGACGUUGAUUCUGCAUUUAACCAAGUCAAGCUAAUGCUGAAAUUAUGUUUGAUGAUAACUUUUGAUUGUAUGAUUUCAGCUACUAUUGUUCAAAGAGCAGUGGGAGAACACUUUGUGACUCCACUGUGCUCCAACGCUACAAAGCAAAACGACAAGAUAGAAGUUGUCGUUCUGGUAACGUGCAGCAUCAGGAGACUGAGCAGCAGAGAAGACUGUCGUCUGCUGUAUCGUCAUGAAAAAGGCUUUGAACAUGGAUGUGGCUCCAGGUUCAGACUCAAAGCAGAGAAUCACACUAUACUUCUCCAUCUGACCAGUUUAACAGCAGAGGACAGUGGGAACUACUCCUGUGAAUGUUCACGUCUUAGUGGAACAAUUAGGCUUCAAUUCAAUGUCACUGUGGAAGAUAAUGAAGACCUCAGUACAGAUGACAACUUUGAAGUGCAGCAAACACUGGUUAUUACUCUGGUAAUAACCAGUGUUUGCUGUGCAGCUGUAUUCAUCAUUAUAACUGGAUUGUUCCUGAGAUGUUGCCUUAGAGACUGUUGGACCUCAGCUACAUCUGGAACAUCUGUAUAUAAAACCUGCAACGCUUUGGAUCCAGAUGACCGAAGUACGAACAGUACAGUGAUAUUUAGUCACACAUCUUCACUAAUAAGGAAGUAAACGGAAAACACAUUGACCAAUGUGAAAUCUAUAAAAAUAUCAUGAUGUACAGUAAUGUGGAUAACCUUGAGGAACAGUAGUAGUUAAAAUAAUUUUAUGUUAACAGUUUGUGUUUAUACUGUUGUAGAUGUAAGAGUUCCCUACAUAUUAAUACUGUAUUUGUUUUUAAGUACAAAAUAAGCAAGUACAGUGAGUUUAGUGGAGCAGUACUUCAUUAGCAGAAGACAGGUUUGAGUGGAUAGACUUUGUGGUGAUGUGUUAUAUUUUUAAUAAAAAUGAAACUGUGUGUACA
rnacentral:lncRNA from 1 species